rnacentral:rRNA from 1 species
GGUUAAGUUAACAAGGGCGCAUGGUGAAUGCCUUGGCACUAGGAGCCGAUGAAGGACGGGACUAACACCGAUAUGCUUCGGGGAGCUGUACGUAAGCUAUGAUCCGGAGAUUUCCGAAUGGGGCAACCCAGCAGUUUUAAUCAACUGUUACCACUAGAUGAAUUCAUAGUCUAGUUGGAGGUAAACGCUGUGAACUGAAACAUCUCAUUAGCAGCAGGAAUAUAAAGAAAUUUCGAUUCCCUAAGUAGCGGCGAGCGAACGGGGAACAGCCCAAACCAAAGUGCUUGCACUUUGGGGUUGUAGGACUGAACAUUUGAGUUACCAAAGAACUUGAUAGUCGAAGGAUUUGGGAAAAUCCGCCAUAGAUGGUGAUAGCCCAGUAGAUUAAAUCAAGUUCUCUCAGUUCAGGAUCCUGAGUACGGCGGAACACGUGAAAUUCCGUCGGAAUCCGGGAGGACCAUCUCCCAAGGCUAAAUACUACCUAGUGACCGAUAGUGAACCAGUACCGUGAGGGAAAGGUGAAAAGCACCCCGGGAGGGGAGUGAAAUAGUUCCUGAAACCAUGUGCCUACAAUAAGUCAGAGCGCGUUAAUGCGUGAUGGCGUGCCUUUUGUAGAAUGAACCGGCGAGUUAUGAUCCCGUGCAAGGUUAAGACUAAAAAGUCGGAGCCGUAGCGAAAGCGAGUCUGAAAUGGGCGAUUUGAGUACGAGGUUAUAGACCCGAAACCAGGUGACCUAUCCAUGUCCAGGUUGAAGGUGCGGUAAAACGCACUGGAGGACCGAACCCGUGUAAGUUGAAAAUUGCUGGGAUGAGGUGUGGAUAGCGGUGAAAUUCCAAACGAACUUGGAGAUAGCUGGUUCUCUCCGAAAUAGCUUUAGGGCUAGCCUCGGAUUAAGGAUCAUGGAGGUAGAGCACUAUUUGGACUAGGGGCCCGUCUUGGGUUACUGAAUUCAGAUAAACUCCGAAUGCCAUUGAUUCAUGUCCGGGAGUCAGACGAUGAGUGAUAAGAUCCACCGUCGAAAGGGGAACAGCCCAGACCAUCAGUUAAGGUCCCUAAAUGUAUGCUAAGUGGAAAAGGAUGUGGAGUUGCAUAGACAACUAGGAUGUUGGCUCAGAAGCAGCCACCAUUUAAAGAGUGCGUAAUAGCUCACUAGUCGAGUGAUCCUGCGCCGAAAAUGUACCGGGGCUAAGCAUACUACCGAAACCAUGGAUGUGACCAUUAGGUCGCGUGAUAGGAGAGCGUUCUAAGGGCGGUGAAGCAAGAUCGUGAGGACUUGUGGAGCGCUUAGAAGUGAGAAUGCCGGUAUGAGUAGCGAAAGAUAGGUGAGAAUCCUAUCCACCGAAUGACUAAGGUUUCCUGGGGAAGGCUCGUCCUCCCAGGGUUAGUCGGGACCUAAGUCGAGGCCGAGAGGCGUAGACGAUGGAUAACAGGUUGAGAUUCCUGUACUAGUUAAGUGCGUUUGAGCAAUGGAGGGACGCAGGAGGCUAAGAUGUGCAUUCUGUUGGAUUAGAAUGUCCAAGCAGUAAGUCUUGUGGAGAGUCAAAUGCUUUUCACUUUAAGGACAAGCUGUGAUGGGGAGCGAAAUUUAGUAGCGAAGCGUCUGAUGUCACACUGCCGAGAAAAGCUUCUAGUGAGUACUUAACUACCCGUACCGCAAACCGACACAGGUAGUCGAGGAGAGAAUCCUAAGGUGAGCGAGUGAACUCUCGUUAAGGAACUCGGCAAAAUGACCCCGUAACUUCGGGAGAAGGGGUGCUGAUCGCAAGAUCAGCCGCAGUGAAUAGGCCCAGGCGACUGUUUAUCAAAAACACAGGUCUCUGCAAAAUCGUAAGAUGACGUAUAGGGGCUGACGCCUGCCCGGUGCUGGAAGGUUAAAAGGAUGGGUUAGCUUCGGCGAAGCUCAGAAUUGAAGCCCCAGUAAACGGCGGCCGUAACUAUAACGGUCCUAAGGUAGCGAAAUUCCUUGUCGGGUAAGUUCCGACCCGCACGAAAGGCGUAACGAUCUGGGCACUGUCUCAACGAGAGACUCGGUGAAAUUAUAUUGUCCGUGAAGAGUGCGGACUACCCGCGCGACAGGACGGAAAGACCCCAUGGAGCUUUACUGUAGCUUGAUAUUGAGUGUUUGUACAGCUUGUACAGGAUAGGUAGGAGCCAUAGAAACCGGAACGCUAGUUUCGGUGGAGGCGUUGGUGGGAUACUACCCUCGCUGUAUGACCACUCUAACCCGCACCACUAAUCGUGGUGGGAGACAGUGUCAGGUGGGCAGUUUGACUGGGGCGGUCGCCUCCUAAAAAGUAACGGAGGCGCCCAAAGGUUCCCUCAGAAUGGUUGGAAAUCAUUCGCAGAGUGUAAAGGCACAAGGGAGCUUGACUGCGAGACAGACAGGUCGAGCAGGGACGAAAGUCGGGCUUAGUGAUCCGGUGGUACCGUAUGGAAGGGCCAUCGCUCAACGGAUAAAAGCUACCCUGGGGAUAACAGGCUUAUCUCCCCCAAGAGUCCACAUCGACGGGGAGGUUUGGCACCUCGAUGUCGGCUCAUCGCAUCCUGGGGCUGUAGUCGGUCCCAAGGGUUGGGCUGUUCGCCCAUUAAAGCGGUACGCGAGCUGGGUUCAGAACGUCGUGAGACAGUUCGGUCCCUAUCCGUCGCGGGCGUAGGAAAUUUGAGAGGACCUGUCCUUAGUACGAGAGGACCGGGAUGGACAUACCUCUGGUGUACCAGUUGUGCCGCCAGGCGCAUCGCUGGGUAGCUACGUAUGGAUGUGAUAAACGCUGAAAGCAUCUAAGUGUGAAACACACCUCGAGAUGAGAUUUCCCAUUCCUUUAUGGAAGUAAGACCCCUGAAAGAUGAUCAGGUAGAUAGGUUAGAAGUGGCAGUGCGGUGACGCAUGAAGCGGACUAAUACUAAUCGGUCGAGGACUUAACCAA